rnacentral:rRNA from 1 species
GACGAACGCUGGCGGCGUGCCUAAUACAUGCAAGUCGAACGAAGCUGUUUUAACUGGUGCUUGCACCGACUUAAACAACUGAGUGGCGAACGGGUGAGUAACACGUGGGUAACCUGCCCCAAAGCGGGGGAUAACAUUUGGAAACAGAUGCUAAUACCGCAUAACCACAGAAACCACAUGGUUUCUGUGUCAAAGAUGGUUUCGGCUAUCACUUUGGGAUGGACCCGCGGCGUAUUAGCUAGUUGGUAAGGUAAUGGCUUACCAAGGCAAUGAUACGUAGACGAUCUGAGAGGUUGAUCGGCCACAUUGGGACUGAGACACGGCCCAAACUCCUACGGGAGGCAGCAGUAGGGAAUCUUCCACAAUGUACGAAAGUCUGAUGGAGCAACGCCGCGUGAGUGAAGAAGGUUUUCGGAUCGUAAAACUCUGUUGUCAGAGAAGAACGUGUGCGAGAGUAACUGCUCGUGCAGUGACGGUAUCUGGCCAGAAAGCCACGGCUAACUACGUGCCAGCAGCCGCCGUAA